AUUGAACGCUGGCGGCAGGCCUAACACAUGCAAGUCGAACGAGUGGCGGACGGGUGAGUAAUGUCUGGGAAACUGCCUGAUGGAGGGGGAUAACUACUGGAAACGGUAGCUAAUACCGCAUACCAUCAGAUGUGCCCAGAUGGGAUUAGCUUUGUGGUGGGGUAACGCCUACCCAAGGCGACGAUCCCUAGCUGGUCUGAGAGGAUGAACAGCCACCCUGGAACUGAGACACGCUCCAGACUACUACGGGAGGCAGCAUUGGGGAAUAUUGCACAAUGGGCGCAAGCCUGAGGCAGCCAUGCCGGGUGUAGGAAGAAGGCCUUCGGGUGGUAAAGUACUUUCAGCGGGGAGGCGUUACCCGCAGAAGAAGCACCGGCUAACUCCGUGCCAGCAGCCGCGGUAAUUC
rnacentral:rRNA from 1 species